rnacentral:rRNA from 1 species
GGGAAUAUUGCACAAUGGGCGCAAGCCUGAUGCAGCCAUGCCGCGUGUGUGAAGAAGGCCUUCGGGUUGUAAAGCACUUUCAGCGAGGAGGAAGGUGGUGAGCUUAAUACGUUCAUCAAUUGACGUUACUCGCAGAAGAAGCACAGGCUAACUCCGUGCCAGCAGCCGCGGUAAUACGGAGGGUGCAAGCGUUAAUCGGAAUUACUGGGCGUAAAGCGCACGCAGGCGGUUUGUUAAGUCAGAUGUGAAAUCCCCGGGCUCAACCUGGGAACUGCAUUUGAAACUGGCAAGCUAGAGUCUCGUAGAGGGGGGUAGAAUUCCAGGUGUAGCGGUGAAAUGCGUAGAGAUCUGGAGGAAUACCGGUGGCGAAGGCGGCCCCCUGGACGAAGACUGACGCUCAGGUGCGAAAGCGUGGGGAGCAAACAGG